rnacentral:misc_RNA from 1 species
GAAAUGCGAUACCUGGUGUGAAUUGCAGAAUCCCGCGAACCAUCGAGUCUUUGAACGCAAGUUGCGCCCGAGGCCUUCUGGCCGAGGGCACGCCUGCCUGGGCGUCACGCCAAACACGCUCCCACCCCACUAAACAUGGGGCGGGACGCGGCAUGUGGCUCUCCGUCUCGCUAGGGGCGGUGGGCCGAAGAUCCGGCUGCCGGUGUAUCGUGCCGGACACAGCGCGUGGUAGGCGAUCUCGCUAUACUAAACGCAGUGCAUCCGGGACGUAGCCGACUCAAUGCCCUCAAUGGACCCUAUUAACGGAGCGCACGACGCUUCGACCGCGACCCCAGGUCAGGCGGGACUACCCGCUGAAUUUAA